CAGUAGCCGCGGUAAUACGUAGGGUGCAAGCGUUAAUCGGAAUUACUGGGCGUAAAGCGUGCGCAGGCGGUUCGCUAAGACAGAUGUGAAAUCCCCGGGCUUAACCUGGGAACUGCAUUUGUGACUGGCAAGCUAGAGUGUGGCAGAGGGGGGUGGAAUUCCGCGUGUAGCAGCGAAAUGCGUAGAUAUGCGGAGGAACACCGAUGGCGAAGGCGGCCAUCUGGGACAACACUGACGCUGAGGCACGAAAGCGUGGGGAGCAAACAGGAUUAGAUACCCCCGUAGUCCCUGUCUCUUAUAU
rnacentral:rRNA from 1 species